rnacentral:rRNA from 1 species
AGUGAACGCUGGCGGUAGGCCUAACACAUGCAAGUCGAACGGCAGCACAGUAAGAGCUUGCUCUUACGGGUGGCGAGUGGCGGACGGGUGAGGAAUACAUCGGAAUCUACUUUUUCGUGGGGGAUAACGUAGGGAAACUUACGCCAAUACCGCAUACGACCUACGGGGGAAAGCAGGGGAUCUUCGGACCUUGCGCGAUUGAAUGAGCCGAUGUCGGAUUAGCUAGUUGGCGGGGUAAAGGCCCACCAAGGCGACGAUCCGUAGCUGGUCUGAGAGGAUGAUCAGCCACACUGGAACUGAGACACGGUCCAGACUCCUACGGGAGGCAGCAGUGGGGAAUAUUGGACAAUGGGCGCAAGCCUGAUCCAGCCAUGCCGCGUGGGUGAAGAAGGCCUUCGGGUUGUAAAGCCCUUUUGUUGGGAAAGAAAAGCAGCAGGUUAAUACCCCGCUGUUCUGACGGUACCCAAAGAAUAAGCACCGGCUAACUUCGUG